rnacentral:rRNA from 1 species
CCUACGGGAGGCAGCAGUGGGGAAUUUUCCGCAAUGGGCGAAAGCCUGACGGAGCAACGCCGCGUGAGGGAUGAAGGCCUCUGGGCUGUAAACCUCUUUUAUCAAGGAAGAAGAUCUGACGGUACUUGAUGAAUAAGCCACGGCUAAUUCCGUGCCAGCAGCCGCGGUAAUACGGGAGUGGCAAGCGUUAUCCGGAAUUAUUGGGCGUAAAGCGUCCGCAGGCGGUCUUGUAAGUCUGUCGUUAAAGCGUGGAGCUUAACUCCAUUUCGGCGGUGGAAACUACAAGACUAGAGUGUGGUAGGGGCAGAGGGAAUUCCCGGUGUAGCGGUGAAAUGCGUAGAUAUCGGGAAGAACACCAGUGGCGAAGGCGCUCUGCUGGGCCAUAACUGACGCUCAUGGACGAAAGCUAGGGGAGCGAAAGGGAUUAGAUACCCCUGUAGUCCUAGCCGUAAACGAUGAACACUAGGUGUCGGGGGAAUCGACCCCCUCGGUGUCGUAGCUAACGCGUUAAGUGUUCCGCCUGGGGAGUACGCACGCAAGUGUGAAACUUAAAUGAAUUGACGG